AGAGUUUGAUCCUGGCUCAGGAUAAACGCCGGCGGUGUGCCUAAUACAUGCAAGUCGUACGCACUGGCCCAACUGAUUAAUGAUGCUUGCACCUGAUUGACGAUGGAUCACCAGUGAGUGGCGGACGGGUGAGUAACACGUAGGUAACCUGCCCCGGAGCGGGGGAUAACAUUUGGAAACAGAUGCUAAUACCGCAUAACAACAAAAGCCACAUGGCUUUUGUUUGAAAGAUGGCUUUGGCUAUCACUCUGGGAUGGACCUGCGGUGCAUUAGCUAGUUGGUAAGGUAACGGCUUACCAAGGCGAUGAUGCAUAGCCGAGUUGAGAGACUGAUCGGCCACAAUGGAACUGAGACACGGUCCAUACUCCUACGGGAGGCUGCAGUAGGGAAUCUUCCACAAUGGGCGCAAGCCUGAUGGAGCAACACCGCGUGAGUGAAGAAGGCUUUCGGGUCGUAAAACUCUGUUGUUGGAGAAGAAUGGUCGGCAGAGUAACUGUUGUCGGCGUGACGGUAUCCAACCAGAAAGCCACGGCUAACUACGUGCCAGCAGCCGCGGUAAUACGUAGGUGGCAAGCGUUAUCCGGAUUUAUUGGGCGUAAAGCGAGCGCAGGCGGUUGCUUAGGUCUGAUGUGAAAGCCCUCGGCUUAACCGAGGAAGUGCAUCGGAAACUGGGAAACUUGAGUGCAGAAGAGGACAGUGGAACUCCAUGUGUAGCGGUGGAAUGCGUAGAUAUAUGGAAGAACACCAGUGGCGAAGGCGGCUGUCUGGUCUGCAACUGACGCUGAGGCUCGAAAGCAUGGGUAGCGAACAGGAUUAGAUACCCUGGUAGUCCAUGCCGUAAACGAUGAGUGCUAGGUGUUGGAGGGUUUCCGCCCUUCAGUGCCGGAGCUAACGCAUUAAGCACUCCGCCUGGGGAGUACGACCGCAAGGUUGAAACUCAAAGGAAUUGACGGGGGCCCGCACAAGCGGUGGAGCAUGUGGUUUAAUUCGAAGCAACGCGAAGAACCUUACCAGGUCUUGACAUCCCGAUGCUAUUUCUAGAGAUAGAAAGUUACUUCGGUACAUCGGUGACAGGUGGUGCAUGGUUGUCGUCAGCUCGUGUCGUGAGAUGUUGGGUUAAGUCCCGCAACGAGCGCAACCCCUAUUGUUAGUUGCCAUCAUUAAGUUGGGCACUCUAGCGAGACUGCCGGUAAUAAACCGGAGGAAGGUGGGGAUGACGUCAAAUCAUCAUGCCCCUUAUGACCUGGGCUACACACGUGCUACAAUGGUUGGUACAGCGAGUCGCGAGUCGGUGACGGCAAGCAAAUCUCUUAAAACCAAUCUCAGUUCGGAUUGUAGGCUGCAACUCGCCUACAUGAAGUCGGAAUCGCUAGUAAUCGCGGAUCAGCACGCCGCGGUGAAUACGUUCCCGGGCCUUGUACUCACCGCCCGUCA
rnacentral:rRNA from 1 species